rnacentral:rRNA from 1 species
AGGGUUUGAUCCUGGCUCAGAUUGAACGCUGGCGGCAUGGCUAAAACAUGCAAGUCGAACGAUGAAAGCUUCUUCGGAAGUGUAUGAAGUGGCGUAAGGGCGAGGAAUAUAUUUCUAUGUACCCCAAAGUCAAGGAUAGCCCAGGGAAACUUGGUGUAAUACUUGAUGUGGUCUCCGGAUCAAAGAUUUAUCGCUUUGGGAGCAGGGAAUAUCCUAUCAGGUAGUUGGUGAGGUAACGGCUCACCAAGCCAAAGACGGGUAGCGGGUGUGAGAGCAUGACCCGCCGCAUCGGGACUGAGACACUGCCCGGACUCCUACGGGAGGCUGCAGUAACGAAUAUUCCGCAAUGAGCGAAAGCUUGACGGAGCAAUGCCGCGUGUAGGAUGAAUCUCCUUGGAGUGUAAACUACUGUCAGAGACUAGGAACAAAAUGACCAAUCUCAAAGGAAGGGCCGGCUAACUUCGUGCCAGCAGCCGCGGUAAUACGAAGGGCCCGAGCGUUAUUCGGAAUCACUGGGCUUAAAGCGUGCGUAGGCGGACUUGUAGGCGUUUUGUGAAAUCCCUCGGCUCAACCGAGGAACUGCAGAGCGAACCCCAAGUCUUGAGACAGAUAGAGGUUGUCGGAACGAUUGGUGGAGUGGUGAAAUGCGUUGAUAUCAAUCGGAACGCCAAAUGAGAAGUCAGGCAACUGGAUCUGU